UACGAAGGGGGCUAGCGUUGUUCGGAUUUACUGGGCGUAAAGCGCACGUAGGCGGAUCUUUAAGUCAGAGGUGAAAUCCCAAGGCUCAACCUUGGAACUGCCUUUGAUACUGGGGAUCUUGAGUCCGGGAGAGGUGAGUGGAACUGCGAGUGUAGAGGUGAAAUUCGUAGAUAGUUCGCAAGAACACCAGUGGCGAAGGCGGCUCACUGGCCCGGUACUGACGCUGAGGUGCGAAAGCGGUGGGAGCAAACAGG
rnacentral:rRNA from 1 species